rnacentral:rRNA from 1 species
CAUCAGCUAGUUGGUAGGGUAACGGCCUACCAAGGCGAAGACGGGUAGGGGGCGUGAGAGCGUGACCCCCCACACUGGCACUGGGACACGGGCCAGACUCCGUACGGGAGGCAGCAGUGAGGAAUAUUGCGCAAUGAGCGAAAGCUAGACGCAGCAACGCCGCGUGGGUGAUGAAGGCCUUCGGGUCGUAAAACCCUUUUCUGGGGGAGGAGUAAGGACGGUACCCCAGGAAUAAGCCUCGGCUAACUAUGUGCCAGCAGCCGCGGUAAUACAUAGGAGGCAAGCGUUAUCCGGAUUUACUGGGCGUAAAGAGCGUUGAGGCGGCUUCGUAAGUUGGACGUGAAAGCUCCCGGCUUAACUGGGAGAGGCCGUUCAAUACUGCGGGGCUUGAGGGCAGCAGAGGGGGGUGGAAUUUCCGGUGUAGUGGUGAAAUGCGUAGAUAUCGGAAGGAACACCAGUGGCGAAGGCGUGCCCCUGGGCUGCUCCUGACGCUGAAGGCGAAAGCUAGGGGAGCGAACGGGAUUAGAAACCCCGGUAGUCCUAGCCGUAAACGAUGGAUACUAGGUUGUAGGAGGUUAAAAUUCCUUCUGUGCCGGAGCUAACGCGUUAAGUAUCCCGCCUGGGGAGUACGGUCGCAAGGCUAAAACUCAAAGGAAUUGACGGGGGCCCGCACAAGCAGCGGAGCGUGUGGUUUAAUUCGAUGCAACACGAAGAACCUUACCAGGGCUUGACAUGUAGGUAGUAGUGAAGCGAAAGCGGAACGAUCCUUCGGGAAGCCUACACAGGUGCUGCAUGGCUGUCGUCAGCUCGUGCCGUGAGGUGUUAGGUUAAGUCCUGUAACGAGCGCAACCCCUGCCGUUAGUUACAAGUGUCUAACGGGACUGCCCGGCAAAACUGGGAGGAAGGUGGGGAUGACGUCAAGUCAGCAUGGCCUUUAUGUCCUGGGCUACACACACGCUACAAUGGCCGGUACAAUGGGUUGCCAAGCCGCGAGGCGGAGCCAAUCCUCUAAAGCCGGUCUCAGUUCGGAUUGUAGGCUGCAACCCGCCUGCAUGAAGUUGGAGUUGCUAGUAACCGCAGGUCA